GAUGAACGCUGGCGGCGUGCCUAAUACAUGCAAGUCGAGCGAACAGACGAGGAGCUUGCUCCUCUGACGUUAGCGGCGGACGGGUGAGUAACACGUGGAUAACCUACCUAUAAGACUGGGAUAACUUCGGGAAACCGGAGCUAAUACCGGAUAACAUGUUGAACCGCAUGGUUCAACAGUGAAAGACGGUCUUUCUGUCACCUAUAGAUGGAUCCGCGUCGCAUUAGCUAGUUGGUAAGGUAACGGCUUACCAAGGCAACGAUGCGUAGCCGACCUGAGAGGGUGAUCGGCCACACGGGAACUGAGACACGGUCCAGACUCCUACGGGAGGCAGCAGUAGGGAAUCUUCCGCAAUGGGCGAAAGCCUGACGGAGCAACGCCGCGUGAGUGAAGAAGGUCUUCGGAUCGUAAAACUCUGUUAUUAGGGAAGAACAAAUGUGUAAGUAACUAUGCACGUCUUGACGGUACCUAAUCAGAAAGCCACGGCUAACUACGUG
rnacentral:rRNA from 1 species